rnacentral:rRNA from 1 species
CGCGUAGGCGGUAAGAUGUGUGUGAUGUGAAAGCCCCGGGCUUAACCUGGGAAGUGCAUCGCAAACUAUCUAACUGGAGUAGAUGAGAGGGUGGUGGAAUUUCCGGUGUAGCGGUGAAAUGCGUAGAGAUCGGAAGGAACGUCAAUGGCGAAGGCAGCCACCUGGCAUCAUACUGACGCUGAGGCGCGAAAGCGUGGGGAGCGAACAGGAUUAGAUACCCUGGUAGUCCACGCUGUAAACGAUGAGAACUAAAUGUUGGCUGGGGAACCAGUCGGUAUUGAAGCAAACGCGAUAAGUUCUCCGCCUGGGAAGUACGGCCGCAAGGUUGAA